GACGAACGCUGGCGGCGUGCCUAACACAUGCAAGUCGAACGGAAAGGCCCUGCUUUUGUGGGGUGCUCGAGUGGCGAACGGGUGAGUAACACACGAGUAACCUGCCCUUGACUUUGGGAUAACUUCAGGAAGCUGGGGCUAAUACCGGAUAGGAGCUCCUGCUGCAUGGGGGGGGUUGGAAAGAUCCGGCGGUGGGGGCUGGACUCGCGGCUUAUCAGCUUGUUGGUGGGGUAGUGGCUUACCAAGGCUUUGACGGGUAGCCGGCCUGGGAGGGUGGCCGGCCACCUUGGGACUGAGAUACGGCCCAGACUCCUACGGGCGGCAGCAGUGGGGAAUAUUGCAGAAUGGGCCGAAGCCUGAUGCAGCAACGCCGCGUGCGGGAUGACGGCCUUCGGGUUGUAAACCGCUUUCGACUGUGACGAGGCGUGAGUGACGGUACUGGGUAAGGAAGCACCGGCUAACUACGUG
rnacentral:rRNA from 1 species